rnacentral:rRNA from 1 species
GUGGGGAAUCUUGCACAAUGGGGGAAACCCUGAUGCAGCGACGCCGCGUGAGCGAUGAAGCCCUUCGGGGUGUAAAGCUCUUUCGGCAGGGAAGAUGAUGACGGUACCUGCAGAAGCAGCUGCGGCUAACUACGUGCCAGCAGCCGCGGUAAUACGUAGGCAGCAAGCGUUGUUCGGAGUUACUGGGCGUAAAGGGUGUGUAGGCGGUUGUUUAAGUUUGGUGUGAAAUCUCCCGGCUCAACUGGGAGGGUGCGCCGAAUACUGAAUGACUAGAGUGCGGGAGAGGAAAGUGGAAUUCCUGGUGUAGCGGUGAAAUGCGUAGAUAUCAGGAGGAACACCGGUGGUGUAGACGGCUUUCUGGACCGUAACUGACGCUGAAACACGAAAGCGUGGGUAGCAAACAGGAUUAGAUACCCCAGUAGUCC